UACGUAGGGUGCGAGCGUUGUCCGGAAUUAUUGGGCGUAAAGGGCUCGUAGGCGGCUUGUCGCGUCGGGAGUGAAAACACCGGGCUUAACUCGGUGCUUGCUUUCGAUACGGGCAGACUAGAGGCAUGCAGGGGAGAACGGAAUUCCUGGUGUAGCGGUGAAAUGCGCAGAUAUCAGGAGGAACACCCCGUGGCUAAGGCGGCUCUCUAGUACGGUACUGACGCUGAGACGCGAAAAGCGUGGGGGAGCGAACAGG
rnacentral:rRNA from 1 species